rnacentral:lncRNA from 1 species
UUAUAGAGAUCAAAAUAUAUUAGAACCUAUUAUUUAAUUAGUUGGUAAUUGUUGAUGGACCAUAUUACCCUUAGUAACUAAUUAGGUUUCCUCUUGGGUGCUUAUAUAAGGAGAGUUAUGUGGAGGUUUAAGGGUUACUCAGUUACACAAUUCACACCCCAUUAGUCAUAACAUCAUCACGAAACCUCCUCUCCAUAACCGAUACCCUUUUCGGUUUCUAAGUCCCCAUCAUCAGUCAGCACCCUAAGGAGGAACCAGAUCAAGAUGACAGGCAUGUCGAACUCCCUCACAGGAUUCUCCUCUGCACUAUCUGCUGUGACAGCUGUUAGCGAGCACCCAACUGCGGGAUUCCACCUUUGACUGGUGAUAACUUUGCUGCAUGGAAGGAUGCUCUCAUGCUUACUCUUGGAUUGCUUGAUUUCGAUUAUGCUCUAAGAGAGAAAAAGCCAGCGGACCUUACCACUCAAAGUACUGCUGCUGAGCAGUUAACUCAUGAAAAGUGGACUAGGUGUAACCGCAUGUCUCUCAUGUUUAUGAAGCAAUCCAUAAGCAAUGCAAUCAGGGGAGCUAUUCCUGAUUCUGAAGAUGCUAAAACCUACUUGGAACAUGU